CAGUCGCCGCGGUAAUACGAAGGGUGCAAGCGUUAAUCGGAAUUACUGGGCGUAAAGCGUGCGUAGGCGGUUUGUUAAGUCUGUUGUGAAAUCCCCGGGCUCAACCUGGGAAUGGCAGUGGAUACUGGCUCGCUAGAGUGUGUCAGAGGAUGGUGGAAUUCCCGGUGUAGCGGUGAAAUGCGUAGAGAUCGGGAGGAACAUCAGUGGCGAAGGCGGCCAUCUGGGACAACACUGACGCUGAGGCACGAAAGCGUGGGGAGCAAACAGGAUUAGAUACCCCAGUAGUCCCUGUCUCUUAUAC
rnacentral:rRNA from 1 species